rnacentral:rRNA from 1 species
UACGGGGGGGGUAAGCGUUGUUCGGAAUUACUGGGCGUAAAGGGCUCGUAGGCGGCCAACUAAGUCAGACGUGAAAUCCCUCAGCUUAACUGGGGAACUGCGUCUGAUACUGGAUGGCUUGGAUUCGGGAGAGGAAUGCGGAAUUCCAGGUGUAGCGGUGAAAUGCGUAGAUAUCUGGAGGAACACCGGUGGCGAAGGCGGCAUUCUGGACCGACAUUGACGCUGAGGAGCGAAAGCCAGGGAAGCAAACGGG